GUACUUUUGGCAAAUUUGAGUGAGAGGUUGAUCAUCGAGCGCCAAGCAUACGACAAUGAUUCUUUGGGGAAUUUUGCAUUUUGAAGACGUUUCAAGGGAUUUCGGUUUUGGCAUUGCAUAGAGCUGUGGAGCAAUCCUUUUACCUCUCCCUUUAUGGAGAAGAUUUUAAUUCCUUAUAUCAUACGGAUCUCCUUGUAGUAGUAUUUUUUUGGCUUCAUUUGAUUUCCAAUCAAUUAGAAAAAAACUAUUCGAACGAGACACCUAUGUAAUGGAGUGUUGUUAAUUAUAUCAGGAAAAGCUUGAAGAAUGGAUGUGCCUCAUUUAUUAGUUUCACUUGAUUUGUUAGAAAUUGAAGCUCUUUCUACAACA